CCGCACAUAGCUAUGCCAAUUGCCCUUAACAUUAUCUUCUAAUGUUAGGAAUGUUCCAAGCAUCCUUUGACCAUUUACAAAAAGUAAAUAACCAUGUCUUAAGGACACGUUUUUUCUUACCAAAACGACUUCGUUCCUUCGCUUGUUCUUCUUCCUCCCCAAGCUCUACAUGAAAUCCAUUUCCAUGGCCAAAUCCUACCCAUGUUGUCACCUUCAAUCUAAAGGAGUUGGAGAGAGUUAGACAAAGAAGUCUUAGGGUUAGCUAUGGAUCAUAUACAGUCAAGGGAAAGUGAUUUCGAGAUAGAUUUGGAGAGUGGGGGAACAACUAGUGAUGAAGAUGGAAGUAAUAACUAUGAUCUGACUGGUGAAAUUUCUAAUAAAGAGUUGUAUAAAGCGGGGAGUGGGCUUCGUGGAGUUCGAUUAUCCAAUGGAUCUGUAAGAAGCCAAGAUGGUUCAAAUACAUAUAAUAAAAAGUUUAGUGCUGAUGAGCUUUCUGUUAGGUGUACAGAAAUUUGGUCAAAUAAAGUCAGGAAAGAGAUGGAAAAUUUGAGGGACAACAAAAUGGAUAUUGACAAGACAAAGAAGCCAAAGCCUCCUAAACCACCUAGACCCCCAAAGGGUCCAUCAUUAGAUGCCUCUGACGUUAAGUUCGCCAAGGAAAUAUCUGAGCUUGCUAUAUGGAAGCGGAGAAGGACCGAAAGAAUUAAGGCAUUGAAGAAAGUUAAAAAGGAGAGUGGAUCAUCUUCGAAGAUGAAUAUAUUAGCAACGGUGAUCACAAUUCUGUUCUUCUUGGUUAUUAUAUUUCAAGGUACGCUUCAUGUCACAGGGCAUCCGAGAUUUUAAUUCGUCAGUAGUAUUGAGAGUAUGAACUUCUUCAUAACAUUUGUUAUCAUGGAGAUCUUUUGAAUAUUCUUCUUUUGACUUCUAAAUCAAGUAUGUUGUUCUUUUUGGUUUAUCUUGUAUGAAAGCUAACAGAGUUUAGUGUUGAUGCUAUAACUCUAUGAGCUUACUGGUUGUAAAUUCUUAUUAUUCCUUCUGUUUUUCACUAUUCUUGUUCUAUGUUCUUAUGAGAACUGUCGACAUGAAUAUAACAUGGUAUGCACAUUCAGAAAAAGUAUGAUGAGUUGCUAAGGAAAUUUAAUAAAUAAGGAAGAAAGGGAGAGAUCAAAAUUCUAGCUUGCAGCAGUUGCCUUUACACAAAAGUGUUUUGGGCACUCGUGUAUGACAUCAGUGUGUAUGUCGCCUUUAAUUCAGUGGUAGGUUCACGUACAAUUUCUUCUAAACUUUCUGUGCGACUGGUCUAUGAUGUGGCAUCUCAAACAGUUCUCAUUCUAUACUUUUAUCUGCUCAACAAGUACCAUUCACUUUAGAUACUCCUGUCUGCUCAACAAUCAGCCAGGGGCAGUUUUACAGGAGAUCAGGGUUUUGUGGAUUUGGAAUGACGGAGGAACUGACUCGAACAAGUAAAAUCAUUUUGAAUCUUUUGACAAAUAGCGGCUGCUUAUUGUACAGAAAUGUAACAACUACUAUGGAUUUUGUAAAGAGCUCCUGAUAUUUGUAGGUGUUCUUAAGUAGCUAGAAAGAGGUACUCUGAUUACGUGCCCCUCGGAGCCAUGCAUGAUUUUGGUGUUGUACUCUAGGAAACAAGAAGUUUAGAAAAGGGUCAUUGCAGAGCUUCACUUGCGGAAUAGAAUUAACAUAUCUUGAUUGGAGAUAUGCACCUCAUUACUGUUUUGGUUAUAUUAACUCUUCGUGCAUCUAUUACACCUUUUCUCUA